CCUACGGGUGGCAGCAGUGGGGAAUAUUGCACAAUGGGGGAAACCCUGAUGCAGCGACGCCGCGUGAGCGAUGAAGGAUUUCGGUAUGUAAAGCCCUAUCAUCAGGGAAGAAAAUGACGGUAUCUGACGAAGAAGCCCCGGCUAACUACGUGCCAGCAGCCGCGGUAAUACGGAGGGUGCAAGCGUUAUCCGGAUUUACUGGGUGUAAAGGGAGCGUAGGCGGGGGAGCAAGGCAGAUGUGAAAGCCCGGGGCUCAACCCCGGGACUGCAUUUGAAACUGUUAUGCUAGAGUGUCGGAGAGGUAGGCGGAAUUCCUGGUGUAGCGGUGAAAUGCUUAGAUAUCAAGAAGAACACUGAUUGCGAAGGCGGCUUACUAGAA
rnacentral:rRNA from 1 species